rnacentral:rRNA from 1 species
UAGGGAAUCUUCUGCAAUGGACGCAAGUCUGACGGAGCAACGCCGCGUGAGUGAAGAAGGAUUUCGGUUCGUAAAACUCUGUUGUUAGAGAAGAACAGCGCAUAGAGUAACUGUUAUGCGUGUGACGGUAUCUAACCAGAAAGCCACGGCUAACUACGUGCCAGCAGCCGCGGUAAUACGUAGGUGGCAAGCGUUGUCCGGAUUUAUUGGGCGUAAAGCGAGCGCAGGCGGUCAAUUAAGUCUUAUGUGAAAGCCCCCGGCUCAACCGGGGAGGGUCAUUGGAAACUGGUUGACUUGAGUGCAGAAGAGGAGAGUGGAAUUCCAUGUGUAGCGGUGAAAUGCGUAGAUAUAUGGAGGACCACCGGUGGCGAAAGCGGCUCUCUGGUCUGUAACUGACGCUGAGGCUCGAAAGCGUGGGGAGCGAACAGG